GAGAAAAUUGCAUAUUUGGUUAACGUUAUUUCACACAGAUUUUGUUACAGAUUAUUUACAUCUCCCAGUAGAUCGAGGGGAAUGUUACUUUUAUCCUCGGAUAAAAUUUUGGUAUUGGAAAGAUUAUUAUACAUCCGUUACAUUCCUGCGAACAUUCUAGUGGAAUUUCAGAAAAUAUUUGCGCCAUUCUAGAUUCCGACCAGUAAAGAAUUCUCGCUUAUCAGAUCUCUAAACGUCGUGUAAACUUGCGUGAUUUAUUUUUUGUUUCUCGACAGAAACAGGUUGCAUGCGUGAACAUUACGUGGAAAGAUAAGAGCCCUUGCUCUAAAAUUCAACGUCGGAUGUGACCGUGGUCGGUGUUCCAAAAAGAUCCUCCAAUUCUAACUCAAAUUUCGCAAUUUCUGGGGGACACGUUUGAGUACAGCUUACUUUGGACGUUAGAAUAAAAUAUUUGUUCGCAUUACUCGAUAGAUUUUGUUUUCCGAUUGCUGUUACUACAACAAAAAGAAUUUCCACUUGUUGCAAGAAGACGCAAUCCGGGCGGCACGUGUACGCAAAUUAGGCUGCCACGCGAGAGUAAACCCGUCGCAGACUCUUUGGCGUCAGUGAACUGGUUGGAAAUAUUUGCGGCGGUAUCGUGGCAUGAGUCAACGGACAGCAGAGACGAUUGCUAAUAAGGUGGCGAAACAACUUCGAGAAACCGGCACGCGCUGAAAAUCGUUAACUUCGGAGAUUCGUGAGACGAAACAGGCUAAAAUCAGGUCAACGCACUGCUUUUUGAACACAGAAUGAUCUUGUUGGUGUUGAACAUUAAUAUCAACAAAUCGUUUCUGGCAACUUUAUGCCAGACUUGGCCAAGUUGGAUACAACAUAAUUGGGACAACGGAUUGGGAGUGAAUUCUUAUUUGCAUCAACGAAUGGGAAUCGAAGCCGUGAAUUUCGAACCAAGUCCACCACGACAUUUCGAGAAAAUCAGUUCUUCUUUAUCUUCUUCAAGUUCUUCGUGAUCUUUUUCAUUCUUCUUGAGAGUAUUGAGAUUACACGUUCACUCUCACUAUCUUUAUAUUCUUAAUGUCAGUUUCGUUGUAGAACUGUGGCAUAAUAAACUUCUUUAACAUGUUGGCCACCAUAUACGGGUGAUAGAGAUUUUUGCUAAAGAGCUUAAGGAAAAAAUUCCAAAGGUGUGAAGUUAAAUAAACUACCUUGAAUAGGAUUCGUGAAUUUUCGAUUUUUUCGAAACAUAUUAGGUCGUCUUAAAAGUUCGAGUCACAUAUUUCUGCUACUUAAAUUAAUAUGUGAAACAUACCCUUAAGUGUUAUAAAAAAAGGUAAUCUUUCGCAUUUAAUAAUAUUUUCGUACCUUUCUGACAUAGUCGUUACAUCGUGGCUAUACGAUUUCUGUAGUUCUUUUUUAUUAAAUAUCGACAUAGACUUUGUCACGAACUUAUAGGAUCACCUAACUGUUUUACUCGCGUGGAAGUUUCCACGAAUAUCAGUCUGGUAGUCAACGUAUUAAAAAAUAUAUAAUUUAAGUUAAUAAAGUUCUAACAGGACUUGAAGAGGAGGUCUGCGUAAGUGCGUAAAAUCUGCAGCAUAUACGAAGGCGAUCUUUUUUCAUUUCACAAUACGCACGCUUUGUUGCAACGGAAAAUCGAUAAGUAGUACUUUUAUUCACAUCGUUCGACGCCGGUUGAUUAUGAAGUAAAACCACUUAAAUUUCACGAUUUUGUUGCGCGUAUUUAGAUCACGUUUGCGGCGGACGACUAAUUACGAGUCUCGGCGAGCCCGAAAGCGUAUAACAUCAUCGCAGUUUCAUCCCAUGGAAUCGGCGGGUCGAGGUUCCUUUUUUAUUUCUCGCGGUUCAUACUUUGCGCCGCGGUUGCGCAACUUACGCCACUUUGUCUUUAACGAUUCUCCGUUCAUAUUCGACGAAUUACGCAUAAUACAGGGCGGGCAACGUGUGAUUUGCAUUCGAAUGAUUGGCGACGACCUGUUAGCGACUUCCUUUCGUUUUUUCCUGUAGAUUCUUUCCCGUUUUCCAUUUCCUUUAGUUCCGACGUUUCUUUCGUCUUUCCUUCAUUCUGCUGGAACGCAUAACGACUGUACAGUGAUGGAAAUUAUACCGAAUUAGUACUGCUGCUUCCACUCUGUAAAUCGCAAUCUAGAAUCAAACUAGGAGAUAUCCAACAAAAUUGUUAUACAUUUGAUAGUCCUAUGAGAGUGUCGAUACACGUUUGAGUCCCCUAAAUGGAAAAUCAAGUCAGUUCUUAAUUUUGUGUCGAAUUUUAAUUAUUGCGUAGAGAACAAAUCUUUUGUUUGGAAAUUCUUUUUCGCUGCACGAUAUUAAGAAUCAUAAAACUGUAAAUUGAACUUUCUUUCGAUACUUUUGCCACUUUCGAAAGUAUUCACGCUGUUCUCAUCCCUAGGACUGUUUCACUGUAUCGAAUAACGUUACGAGCUUCAUUCGAACUAAAUUUUGUACAAAGUUUCAAUGUUUUCUGAAUUUUCUCCAUAAUACUUAUUUUUAAACUUGCAUUAUAAGUUCCAACAUACAUUAUCGUUGUAUCGAAAACUCUUAAACGAUGUAUAUUUAACAGGUAUGUUUUAUUCAGUCAUAAAGAAACAAAUUAUCGGAAUAAAUUCUCUUUGAAUUUACGGUUCAUUAAUAUUGUAUGUUGAAACUUCUGACACAAGUUUGAGAACCGAACAUCGGUUGGAAGCUAUAGCUUUUCUCAUGCGGUUUGUUCCCUUUACUGGCCCGUAAUUAAACUUCACCAUUCUCCCUUUUAGCCGCUGGAUGGCUAUUAAUUAAGAUCUUUCUAACUGCUGAGUUCGAUCCGCAGACUCCGCUUAUAGGAGAUCGUUUCCUUGUAGGCGCGUCCGAAGCAGAAUCUGCUAUGGUUUAACGAAGAGUCCACCAGCAGAUCCAGGACGAAACGCCAUAAUUUUCGCUGUUGCGUCCAAAUGAAACAUGCCUCAUACAUUAUUAAUGCGAGACGAAUGUUUAAGAUUCACAGACAUUAGUUUCGCAUUCCCGUUUCUGAGCGAACGAUCAGCGCAGUUGCUCGUUUAGUAUGUUUGACAUUGUGAACAAUGGACACAAGAAAAUUCGUAAAUGGAACAAAGAGAGAAUUUCUCGGUGACCGAUAAGAGAAAGGUCAGUUAAGAUGGAAUUUUUAAUCUCACGACUGGAAUUAGUACUUGAAAAAUAUUUGGAAAGUGGUUUUUCGUGUAGAGACGAAUAACAAUAGUUGUAGUUACUUCUAAUCGAUAAUGACUAAUAUUUUCGAUGACUCUUUUAUUAGUCAGGUAAUUUUUUAAUUCAUUUCAUGUAUACAGGAUUAUAAGAUGAGCAGUUUAUGAGUAAUCGAAGGUCGCCAAGUUAAGUUAAUCAGUUCGCAUACUGUUGCCGGACAAUGUAUGCAAUGGUUAAUUAUAGUAGUUGGUAAAAUUUAUGCUGUAUAAUGUUCUUGACGUAUUGUGUGCGCCAUAUACAGGAUGGUAAUUUAAUAAAUAUAUGUAUAUCAAAAUUCAAACGCGCCUUUGAAUAUUUUUUAAAAAUUUGCACAAACUUUCUGGACAAUACCAAUAUUAUUUCUCCCUACUGGCAAAAAUUCCAGCAAUUAAUUCUACAAGUGUUCCAAUAGUCUGAGAACGAACAGAAUCCAGCUCGUUUUUUCCUUACACGGAAAAAAAGAAAUUAAAAAGAAAAAAAAAAAAGAUUUCAACUAGAAGGAGGAAAUUAGUCGAUUAUUAAUCGUCGUUCGCGUAAUCGAUGAUACGACGAAUUAUAAAUACUCACAUCCGCGCCGCGAGCUGUCGGAAAGUAAAGUAUCAAAAGAGACAGAACAGGAGUCAUACUAGUCGAUCUGAGGUUCGAGGCGAGUCAGUGGUCCCGAGUAGGUUAUUGGAGCCUUCGGGGCAGAGUUGCACCAUCCGUACAGUUAGACCCCCUUGGGCGAAUCACCGGCCUU